rnacentral:misc_RNA from 1 species
CCAAUAGCGUAUAUUAAAGUUGUUGCAGUUAAAAAGCUCGUAGUUGAAUUUCGGGAUCAAGUCGUCGGUCGUGCCUCGGUACGCACUGGUGACAUUGGUUUCUCCCUUCUGAAGAACCUUGAUGUCAUUAAUUUGGUGUCUUGGGGAAUCAGGACUGUUACUUUGAAAAAAUUAGAGUGUUUAAAGCAGGCUCACGCUUGAAUACAUUAGCAUGGAAUAAUGAAAUAGGACAUUUGAUUCUAUUUUGUUGGUUUCUAGGAUCGACGUAAUGAUUAAUAGGGAUAGUUGGGGGCAUUAGUAUUCAAUUGUCAGAGGUGAAAUUCUUGGAUUUAUUGAAGACUAACUACUGCGAAAGCAUUUGCCAAGGAUGUUUUCAUUAAUCAAGAACGAAAGUUAGGGGAUCGAAGACGAUCAGAUACCGUCGUAGUCUUAACCAUAAACUAUGCCGACUAGGGAUCGGAUGAUGUUAAUUUUUUAAUGACUCAUUCGGCGCCUUACA